rnacentral:rRNA from 1 species
AAACGACUCUCGGCAACGGAUAUCUCGGCUCUCGACAUCGAUGAAGAACGUAGCGAAAUGCGAUACUUGGUGUGAAUUGCAGAAUCCCGUGAACCAUCGAGUCUUUGAACGCAAGUUGCGCCCGAAGCCAUUCGGCCGAGGGCACGUCUGCCUGGGCGUCACA